rnacentral:rRNA from 1 species
UACGGAAGGUGCGAGCGUUAAUCGGAAUUACUGGGCGUAAAGCGCGCGUAGGCGGCUUGGUAAGUCGGAUGUGAAAGCCCCGGGCUCAACCUGGGAACGGCAUUCGAUACUGCUGAGCUGGAGUACGAAAGAGGGGGGUGGAAUUCCAGGUGUAGCGGUGAAAUGCGUAGAGAUCUGGAGGAACACCAGUGGCGAAGGCGGCCCCCUGGUUCGAUACUGACGCUGAGGUGCGAAAGCGUGGGGAGCAAACAGG